rnacentral:lncRNA from 1 species
AUUUUUACUUUAUGUUUUCCUUCUUAUACAAAUAAAUCAGUUUAUGCAUUUAUUUUCCACCAAAGUUUGUUAUUUGGUUUUGCAGAGUUGAGUAACACAGAGGAAUGCAUGGUGUAGCACAUGAAAUCAAGAUCUCUUAGAGCAAUAUUAUGAAAUCUGUUUUAGGGCCUGUAGUGCUCCCCAAGGCCAUAGAUUCUUGUGUUCGAUCAUUUCCUUGAAUUGUUUUCAAUUUGUUUGAAUGAAGUGUUCAAAUUUGUACUUAUUAUCAAUAACUUAUUUAGAUAUUUGAGUGUGAUGUGUUAUAAAAUUAUUUUUUGGUUGCUGUUUAUUUUUUGGUUUGAAGGGAGACAGUUUGUGUAAUCCUUAUCUGUGUUAAAUUUGCUGUGAAAGAAUAAAUCAGAGGGAAUUAUUUAAUUAUCAGGUUUUUAAUUUGUAUUUUUAGUGCACUAUUUUAACGUCUGUAUGAAUCUCCUUUGUCCUCUUUUCAUAGGUCUGCCCAUGAAGUGGGCUGGCAUCAUUCUCCAGGGAUUCAUCAGGUACCACAAACACAUAUGUAUCACCUGUAAAAACAUUUAUUGGUGCAAGCAAAACCUUCCAGCAAUCUCAAACAGAUCUUUAAGGGCUGCUUUUUUUUGGUUUUUUUUUUUUUUUUUUUUUUAAACUUUAAGGGUUUUAAGUACCUGUUCCUGAUGUGGAAUAUCUUGUUGCAUCUUCUCUGAAGCUAGAUAGAGGCUGAAUCUCGACUCCAGGAGCUCACUGACUGUUUAGGGAGUUCACUGUCAUAGAGGCAACACUUGAGAAAUAGUUACGUCUUCCCACGUGAGCUAUGCUGCUUUGGCAGUGUAUGGAUUAUGUAUGGAGGGUACUACUCCAACUAAACUAUUGAAUUCUAUUAUCACCUUUGCUAUAAAGCCAUAUUUUAUGGUGGAGGCAGUCAAUAGCCAUAACCACCACUUGAUACUACCUCUUCUGUAGGCUGUUCUAUCAGCCAAUGGUAUUACUUUAUACAUAUCAUGAGAUUUUGUUCAGUGUGUGCAAGCUGUGGUAAGACAACUUUAGUGAUGCAUUAACCAAAGGUAAGACAUUUCAGUGAAACAAGGAUUGAUACCCAUGGCCAAAGUUUGUGUGACUAUGGGGAAUGUGUUGCCUACAGGAGGUUUUCGUGCUUCAGGUUGGAAUUGGAGUCAGUGAAUGAGAGUAGAAGAAAAUGAGAAUAAGACAUGGAGGAUAAGUUAUCAAUCUACCAAUGUUAAAGUCUAAAAGCCUGAUAACUUAAAAGUCUUAGUCUGAUAUCAGAAAGGUUUAUAUCUAUGUGUUUCUGUAAAACUUGAACAGAAGUUUGGGGGUAGAUAUUUAUUAGGGAACGAUUUUUACAUUGGAUCAAAACAUGUAAGAUAGGUAACAGUAAUUUCUUCUGCUUCAAUGACUGUAAUAACAAGACAUAUUAGCCAGAAAAAAAAUAGAAUGUAUUAAAAAAAUAGAGUUGAGUGAUAUUUAUGAAAAAAUGUAUCUUGGAUUAAGGAGUAUGUCUAUGAAGGUGGUGGGGCUCAGAACAUGAUACCCCAAAGUACGUUGUCUUGGCAUGCUGAGUACUUUGAACUAAAGGAGAUUAGAAGGCCUCAGAAGCAAGUUCUCUUGGCCUUCUCCUGCCUUCUUGUCUCCUGUCUCUCUUUUCCAUCAGAAGAGAGUCAUGGAAACCAGAAUUCCUCUUCCCCUAGGGGGAUCAUAGAAAUUAGAAGUCUUUUUCCCCAAAGCAAUCCAUAAAACCUAGAAAGGUCACUUCCUCCCUUCUUUCUUCUCCCUUGAAGAUCCUUGUUCCAGAGGGACCCUGCUCCAUACCAUAUGUGGGGGGAAGGAAUGCUACACAGAGAGGCCAAGAAGAACAUGAAUAGCCAGGCUUUGCCUGGUUCCCCCCUCAGUCUAUUACCAUUCGAUUAUUUCCUUUUGUCUAAUCACAUUUCUACAUGACUAUCCAUUUGUCAUUGAACCUAAGCAUAACAAAGGGCAGUUUUUCUUUGGGUCUUUGGGUCUUUCCUUUCUGAAGGCUCCCAUGUCAUGUAAAACUUUGAAUAAAUACAUUUGUUACAGUCUUCUCUUAUUAAUCUUUUGUCAUAGGAGUAUCAGUUGUGACCCUUAUGAUGGGUGAUGAAAGGUAUCACACCUUUCCACUUCUAAAAAGGUAACUGCUAUUUCUGCCCAUAAGAGUUUGUUUAGGCUAACUUAAGGCCAGAAGAAUUUCUGAGAUAUGGUUAACUAAAUGAAACAUAAAUAUGAUACAUAUAUUUUCAUCAUUUCUAUGAAAAUAUAUAGUGCUAACUUUUUUCAUUGAAAUUGUUCAAUACCCUAGUUACAUUUACUUAUGAUUAUCAUUGUGUAAGAAUCAUAAGUAAAAAAGGAGAUUACUUAACUAAUAUAAAAUUUAUGAAAAAGGACUUUAUUCCUAGUUUAAGGAAAAUAAUUUUUUUUUUCAUUUUUGUGUCCAAGAGCUUUUAAGAGUGUUCAUGAAGUAGGAAUUGUAAUGCCUACUUGACUGGCUGGCUGUGAAUAAGAUAUGUGAUGAUAUGUGAAAACUACCACCAAUAUGCCUAGAAAAUUUAGGUGAUCAAUAAAUACUUAUUUCUCCACCUCAUCUCCACUAUGUCCCCUUCCUUCCACCUUACUUUUCUAAUCUGCCUCU